UAUGUGUCUGUGUGUGUCUCUGUAUGUAUGUGUGUCUCUGUAUGUGUCUGUAUGAUACAGACACAUACAUACAGAGACACACAGACACAUACA